AUCGCUUACUUCCGGUAUACUUCCGGAAAAUUUGCAUAAAACUAGCAAGUGAGCUUUGUUCCCUGCAUAAUUCUAAAGACUCCUUGCCAGUUUAAGCAAACAGAAAUGGUCUUCUUGAUUACUUUUGUGACUAUCUAAAGCCGGUCCUUUAGAUAGUGAGUAGUGAGUAUUUUACGCGUCUAAUAGAUGGCGUGAAAGAAUAUUGUGUUGAUAUGUGCUUAUGGCGGCUCGUUGUCAACAGUUCAGCUACAGCUAUUUUCUUCAAAAAUUACCAAUGAAUUCGUUGGUAAAUUGGAUAUAUUUUGUGUGCAAUUUGUUAGGAGAAAAUGUGAAAGGGGCAUGCAGCCUACUGUCAACUAUUGUGUUGCAAAUCCUGGGAUCCUAGU